AUUGAACGCUGGCGGCAUGCUUUACACAUGCAAGUCGAGCGCCCCGCAAGGGGAGCGGCAGACGGGUGAGUAACGCGUGGGAAUCUACCCAGCUCUACGGAAUAACCCAGGGAAACUUGGACUAAUACCGUAUACGUCCGAGAGGAGAAAGAUUUAUCGGAGUUGGAUGAGCCCGCGUUGGAUUAGGUAGUUGGUGGGGUAAUGGCCUACCAAGCCGACGAUCCAUAGCUGGUCUGAGAGGAUGAUCAGCCACACUGGGACUGAGACACGGCCCAGACUCCUACGGGAGGCAGCAGUGGGGAAUAUUGGACAAUGGGCGAAAGCCUGAUCCAGCCAUGCCGCGUGAGUGAUGAAGGCCCUAGGGUUGUAAAGCUCUUUCACCGGUGAAGAUAAUGACGGUAACCGGAGAAGAAGCCCCGGCUAACUUCGUGCCAGCCGCCGCAGUAACAC
rnacentral:rRNA from 1 species